UCGGGAGCAUGUGCACACCUGUCAUCUUUAUAUCUCCACCUGUGCACCUUUUGUAAACCUGAAUAUCUUUCUGAAUGGCCUGGCAUAAUUCAGGUUUGAGGAUUGAUCUUUUUCUUUCCUUACAUUUUCAGGUUUAUGUUUUUCAUAUACCCCAAGUAUGUUAUAGAAUGUCAUAAACGGGCCUUUGUGCCUAUAAAUUUAUACAACUUUCAGCAACGGUCUCUUGGCUCUCGCAUCGAUGAAGAACGCAGCGAAAUGCGAUAAGUAAUGUGAAUUGCAGAAUUCAGUGAUCAUCGAAUCUUUGAACCACCUUGCGCUCCUUGGUAUUCCGAGGAGCAUGCCUGUUUGAGUGUCAUUAAUAUAUCAACCUCUUCAAGCUUUUUGCAUGUUGAGUGUUGGAUGUGGGGGUAUUUUUUUGCUGGACUCUAGAAUCUGAGGUCAGCUCCCCUAAAAUGCAUCAGCGAAACAAUUUGUUUACCGCUCAUUGGUGUGAUAACUAUCUACGCUAUUGACGGUGAAAGCACGUUUAGCUCCUAACAGUCCAUUAACUUGGACAACCUCUUUAUUAAUGUGA
rnacentral:rRNA from 1 species